CACGGGCGUGAGCCACCACGCCUGGCCGAACGGUCGCCAUUUGUAUUUCAUCUUCUUCAUACUGUCUGUUCACACACAGCCCAUUUUGUUAGGUUCUCUUUUUCUGAUUUGUAGACGUUAUAACCCGCAUGCAAAUUAUUUGCCUUGUUGGAUGUUGUAACAGCUCUGUCUUAACAGCAUUUUGCUCUUUUCUAUUCAGAGUCUCUGUGCCUUUAGGCACUUGCAACA
rnacentral:lncRNA from 10 species